ensembl:snRNA U1 U1 spliceosomal RNA
AGCCUUACCUGGCAGGGAGGACACCGCAACCACGACGGUGGUUUUUCCACCCUCUGUUGUACUCUGAGUGCACUGACCCCUGACAUUUCCCCAAAUUUUGGAAACUUGACUGUGUUAUCUAUGGUAGUGGGGGGACUACAUUCAUGAUAAUCUCUUU